rnacentral:rRNA from 1 species
UGUCGGCGACCGGCGCACGGGUGCGUAACGCGUAUGCAACCUACCCAUUACAGGGGGAUAACACUGAGAAAUCGGUACUAAUACCCCAUAACAUCCAGGGAGGCAUCUUCUUGGGUUGAAAACUCCGGUGGUAAUGGAUGGGCAUGCGUUGUAUUAGUUAGUUGGUGGGGUAACGGCUCACCAAGACAACGAUACAUAGGGGGACUGAGAGGUUAACCCCCCACAUUGGUACUGAGACACGGACCAAACUCCUACGGGAGGCAGCAG